rnacentral:rRNA from 1 species
ACGUAGGAGACAACGUUAUCCGGAGUUACUGGGCGUAAAGGCGUGUAGGUGGUAUCGUAAGUCUGGCGUGAAAAUUUCCGUCGGCUUAACCGGAGGCAGGUCGUCGGAUACUGCGAAGGCUGAGAGGACGGUAGAGGGCGUGUGGAAUUCCGGGUGUAGUGGUGAAAUGCGUAGAGAUCCGGAGGAACACCAGUGGCGAAGGCGGCCGAACUCGGUCCGGAUCUGACGCUGAGGCGCGACAGCGUGGGAGCAAACAGG